CAUCAUUUUGAAACACAGUUCCCGUACGAUCUCCGAAGUAAAGCAACGUCGAGCCAGAUCAGUACCUAGAUGGGUGACCACUUUGGAAUACCAGGUGUUGUAA